GCCUGGCAAUGGAGAUUUUAUACAAGCCAAAUGUGGCUAUGCCCCAUCUGAUACACAUAUUUUUUUUCAUCACCCCUCAGAAAUUCCAUCCUCCCAGUGGUAGGUUUUGCAUAUGAGGCAAGUGUUACAUUUCCCCCCACCAGAAUUUUAAAUCAUGCCCACAGAAAUUUGAUUCUAGUGGUGGAGAUUCUGCCACCUGGUGUCACACUGCCCCACUAACAUGUAAAAACGUGGAUAGUCGACUUUAAAUGGUGGAAAAAGUUGUCCGUUUGGUUUAAAAAAAAACAAGAGACAAAUAAUGAUGCACAACAAGCUUCCUCUGCGCUCUGUCACCACCUACCGAUGCCCGUACACCCUACAUCAUUAUCAGACCCAAAAGCACAGGUCCAACCCUCUGAAUCCCGAUUUAAUUA